rnacentral:rRNA from 1 species
AAGACCUUGCGCUUUUGGAGCGGCCGAUGUCUGAUUAGCUAGUUGGUGGGGUAAUGGCCUACCAAAGCUUCGAUCAGUAGCUGGUCUGAGAGGACGGCCAGCCACACUGGGACUGAGACACGGCCCAGACUCCUACGGGAGGCAGCAGUGGGGAAUUUUGGACAAUGGGCGCAAGCCUGAUCCAGCCAUGCCGCGUGAGUGAAGAAGGCCUUCGGGUUGUAAAGCUCUUUCAGCCGGGAAGAAAAGGCUGCGACUAAUAAUCGCAGUUCAUGACGGUACCGGAAGAAGAAGCACCGGCAACUACGUGCCAGCAGCCGCGGUAAUACGUAGGGUGCGAGCGUUAAUCGGAAUUACUGGGCGUAAAGGGUGCGCAGGCGGUUUUGUAAGUCAGAUGUGAAAUCCCCGGGCUUAACCUGGGAACU